rnacentral:misc_RNA from 1 species
CGAGAUUCACUAACCGUGCACAGCCCUGCCCAAUACAUUUCUAUAAAUUUCCAGUCAUCUUUACUCUCAGGCUCAUCUGAUUCAUUUUCUCAAACCCUCGAAUAGAAAUGGAUCAAUUCAAAGGCCAGCCUCACCUCCCGAAAUUUGCCGUGCCUAAACGCUACGACAUCCGCCUGAAACCCGACCUUUCCGCCUGCACAUUCGCCGGUUCUGUCUCUAUCGACCUCGACAUCGUUACCGAUACCAAAUUUAUUGUCCUAAACGCCGCCGACCUCUCUGUCAACUCCGGCUCCGUUUUCUUCACCUCCUCUAAGGUGUUUGAGCCCGUGAAAGUUGAUUUAGUGGAAGCAGAUGAGAUUCUGGUGCUGGAGUUUGCUGAGACACUUCCAAUUGGGGUGGGAGUUCUCACUAUUCAGUUCGACGGAGUUUUGAACGACAAAAUGAAGGGAUUUUACAAAAGUACUUAUGAGCAUCAAGGUGAGAAGAAGAAUAUGGCAGUUACUCAGUUUGAGCCAGCCGAUGCUAGGAGAUGUUUUCCAUGUUGGGACGAGCCCGCUUGCAAGGCUAAAUUCAAGAUAACUUUGGAUGUGCCAUCUGAAUUGGUGUCACUUUCAAAUAUGCCAGUUGUAGAGGAGAAGGUGGAUGGACCUCUGAAGACUGUUUCGUAUCAGGAAACACCUAUCAUGUCUACUUAUUUGGUAGCUGUGGUCGUUGGUUUGUUUGAUUAUGUUGAAGAUCACACAUCUGACGGGAUCAAAGUUCGAGUGUAUUGUCAAGUUGGAAAGGCAAAUCAAGGGAAUUUUGCAUUGCAUGUGGCUGUGAAGACACUUGAAUUAUAUAAAGAAUAUUUUUCUGUUCAAUAUCCUCUUCCCAAGUUGGAUAUGAUUGCAAUCCCUGACUUUGCUGCUGGGGCAAUGGAGAAUUAUGGCUUAGUUACAUAUCGUGAGACAGCUCUGCUCUUUGACGAUAAGCAUUCUGCUGCAGCUAACAAGCAGAGAGUUGCUACUGUUGUUGCACAUGAGCUGGCACAUCAGUGGUUCGGCAAUCUUGUAACGAUGGAAUGGUGGACGCAUUUAUGGCUUAAUGAGGGUUUUGCAACAUGGGUGAGCUAUCUGGCAGCUGAUAGCUUGUUUCCAGAAUGGAAGAUAUGGACUCAAUUUCUUGAUGAAACUACUGAAGGUCUUAGGCUUGAUGGCCUUGAAGAAUCCCAUCCG